UACGUAGGGUGCGAGCGUUGUCCGGAUUUAUUGGGCGUAAAGAGCUCGUAGGCGGUUUGUCGCGUCGGCCGUGAAAUCUCCACGCUUAACGUGGAGCGUGCGGUCGAUACGGGCAGACUUGAGUUCGGUAGGGGAGACUGGAAUUCCUGGUGUAGCGGUGAAAUGCGCAGAUAUCAGGAGGAACACCGGUGGCGAAGGCGGGUCUCCGGGCCGAUACUGACGCUGAGGAGCGAAAGCGUGGGGAGCGAACAGG
rnacentral:rRNA from 1 species